rnacentral:rRNA from 1 species
UACGGAGGGUGCAAGCGUUAAUCGGAAUUACUGGGCGUAAAGCGUGCGUAGGCGGUUUGUUUAGUCAGAUGUGAAAGCCCCGGGCUCAACCUGGGAACUGCAUUUGAUACUGGCAGACUAGAGUAUGGUAGAGGGGGGUAGAAUUCCUGGUGUAGCGGUGAAAUGCGUAGAUAUGUGGAGGAACAUCAGUGGCGAAGGCGGCUUCCUGGCUUAAAACUGACACUGUGGCGCGAAAGCGUGGGUAGCAAACAGG